CUGAAAUCUCAUGAAGCAGUGUAACCAGCUCUCAAGUAUCUUCCUGUGAACUAGCCACAGGGAGCCCUGGUAUUCCUUGAACAUGCAUACCUUUCCCAGCGUGAGGGACAUGGACCGUGCCGUGCGAGGGACCCCAUCUUCUGCAGCAGGAGGGAGCAGAGAAGAGAACACAGCCACCCUCAUCAGCCAGAGUUCAAACCCUGACAGUGCCCAUGGAGAGAUCUGGUCCAAGGCACCAACCUCUUCCUGCUGGACUGAGAAAGAGCCUCCUACUGUGUCUCUCUUUACCUCAGCUUUUGCACACCUCCAAUAUAUUGUCCACUGAAGUCAGAAUAAUCUAAAAAUAAAGGCUGAUUACCUCAU
rnacentral:lncRNA from 1 species